rnacentral:rRNA from 1 species
AUGACAGGGUUUUCCUCUCCAUGCGGCGCAUGCAAGUUCCUUCGGAGGAGGUGCGUCAAUGGGUGUGUCUUCGCCCCGCACUUCUGCCAUGAGCAAGGGGCUGCCCAUUUUGCCGCCAUUCAUAAGGUCUUUGGUGCAAGCAAUGCCUCAAAGCUCCUCAUGAGCCUCCCGGCGACCGACCGCCGCGAGGCUGCGGUCACCAUCUCCUACGAGGCACAGGCCAGGCAACAUGAUCCGGUAUAUGGCUGCGUCGCCCACAUAUUUGCUCUGCAGCAGCAGGUUGUAAAUCUGCAAGCGCAGUUGGAGUCGCUCAAAGCUCAGGAACCAGUACAAGGGCACACAAAUACUUGUUCCGCAUCAAGCCCUGAAGAAGACAGUAUCAAGGCCAAGGUUAUGGCUUAUCAGAAAGGGGAAGCUAGGAUGCCACAACCAGGACAUUCAGUAAAGAUUGAGAGCGAGAGCUACUUCGGAAAUGACGGCAUGGCCUGCACUUCCAUGCAAUAUUCUUCUCAGGAUUACAACAGUUCACAUGUAUACACAACCGGCUAUCCGGCGUCAUUUAAUGAUGACAGUAUCCACAGUAGCACCAUGUUUCCCAUUGAUAUGCAAGAAUAUCUGCAAGAGAGUGGGUAUUAUGACACUGAGGGCCACUAG